rnacentral:rRNA from 1 species
GAUGAACGCUGGCGGCGUGCCUAAUACAUGCAAGUCGAGCGAACAGACGAGGAGCUUGCUCCUCUGACGUUAGCGGCGGACGGGCGAGUAACACGUGGAUAACCUACCUAUAAGACUGGGAUAACUACGGGAAACCGGAGCUAAUACCGGAUAAUAUAGUGAACGGCAUGGUUCAAUAGUGAAAGACGGUUUUGCUGUCACUCAUAGAUGGAUCCGCGCCGCAUUAGCUAGUUGGUAAGGUAACGGCGUACCAAGGCAACGAUGCGUAGCCGACCUGAGAGCGUGAUCGGCCACACUGGAACUGAGACACGGUCCAGACUCCUCCGGGAGGCAGCAGUCGGGAAUCUUCCGCCAUGGGCGAAAGCUUGACGGAGCCACGCCGCGUGAGUGAUGAAGGUCUUCGGAUCGUAAAACUCUGUUAUUUGGGACGAACAAAUGCGUAAGUACCUAUGCACGUCUUGACGGUCCCUACUCCGACAGGUCCGGCUCACUACCUG